rnacentral:rRNA from 2 species
CGCUUCUUUUUCCACCGGAGCUUGCUCCACCGGAAAAAGAGGAGUGGCGAACGGGUGAGUAACACGUGGGUAACCUGCCCAUCAGAAGGGGAUAACACUUGGAAACAGGUGCUAAUACCGUAUAACAAUCGAAACCGCAUGGUUUUGAUUUGAAAGGCGCUUUCGGGUGUCGCUGAUGGAUGGACCCGCGGUGCAUUAGCUAGUUGGUGAGGUAACGGCUCACCAAGGCGACGAUGCAUAGCCGACCUGAGAGGGUGAUCGGCCACAUUGGGACUGAGACACGGCCCAAACUCCUACGGGAGGCAGCAGUAGGGAAUCUUCGGCAAUGGACGAAAGUCUGACCGAGCAACGCCGCGUGAGUGAAGAAGGUUUUCGGAUCGUAAAACUCUGUUGUUAGAGAAGAACAAGGAUGAGAGUAACUGUUCAUCCCUUGACGGUAUCUAACCAGAAAGCCACGGCUAACUACGUGCCAGCAGCCGCGGUAAUACGUAGGUGGCAAGCGUUGUCCGGAUUUAUUGGGCGUAAAGCGAGCGCAGGCGGUUUCUUAAGUCUGAUGUG